rnacentral:misc_RNA from 1 species
CCUCACCCUUGGCUCAACAUGUUUGUAUCAAAAAGAGAUAUUGCUGAUUUCGAUCGUAUAGUGUUCAAGAAAAUAUUGAAAGAAGGCGUCGGUGGGCCCAUGCUGGUCUACCCAUUGCUGCGAAGCAAGUAAGUAACUCCCCCAGUUUGUAUUUUUCCCAUUCCUUGGACCCCAGCUUCUUAAAUUCAGUUUGUUAUUAUUGUUCUCCGCAGUCAUCCACGUGUUAGCUAGAUAGGCUCUCAGGUUUGUCCUCUGAAAGUGACGAGGUUUGAACUAGCAGCCUCUUGUUUCAACACGUGUCUAGUUACAAGUCAUCUUGGGGCCACCACCACUUGUCACCUCUAUUUUGUGCAUGUCCCCUGAGCCACCAUCGUCUUAUUUGGUGAACAUUUUAGAUCGGGUAAGCCAGGAGCAUAGAGUCUUGUAUGCGCUCAGCAGCAGGCAACCAAAGCCGUAAAUUUUAUAUACGUAUAGGUACAUAUUAACUUGUUUACGUCAGGUCAGCUCAUAAGCAAAACGUAGAAAUUUCUAGAGAAAUUAGUACCCUGUGUGACAAAGAUACGGUGGAGCCCACAUUUGGCAAUUAUCAUAAUCUCACGCGCCCUAUUGGUUUAAUUGAGUUGGCAAAGUUAUUAGGUAUUAGGUACGGCUGUAUGGGUGUUCUAGAACCAUUAAGCUAGGGGUAUAACCGUAAAUAUAACAAGUGCAAAACGGGAGGGUAUUUGUGUCAUGGGACAGUCAUGCCGUUGGAGAAAACGACAAGGAGAUUUAUUGGCCACCCCACCUUACGAUGACGACAUAAUUUGUCCGGGCUCCAGCAUGGAAGAGGGAUUUUUUCCCUUCUCUUUGCCGAAAUUACCCUUACAGUCACUAUGCCAAGGGGUCAUAAUCAUCCCGGUCUAAAGCCCACCACGAGCUGCUGAGAAGUUGGCCGGAAAAGGGUAGAAAAAUAUACUAGAAAUCUUUUAACGGAAAAUUUGGAUUCGUUUUGCUUGAGAUCAUGUAAAGGAGAUAAAUCUUCAUGGCUUUGAUGUCCUUAGUUGAAAUGGAAGUAGGUGGAUAUAGUGUCUUUUACUAAAAAGAUUUCCUUUUUUUUUCAAGAAAAAAAGUUGAAAAAGUUUAUGGUUCAAGUUCGUUUCAAGAAGAUAUGAUGGUAUGGCAGUCGUCCAAGUUCUCGACAUGUGACACAUGGUUUCAGUUCAAUGGUUCAGUCACAUUAUAUCAAUCCCAUAGUUUUUCUUCGUAUCCCUAUUGGAAUCCAAUGUCCAAUUGUGAUGGGAUUUGGAUUUCGAGUAGGCUUGCUUUAUUUUAUUGGAAUAUAUAUAUAUAUAAUAAAUAGAUUAGGUGCAUAAAGCUUAAAUAUUUGGUACACGAGAUGGUUUUGCUAAAGUUAUUGUGAAUCAGGUGGGAUAAUCGCACGUCUGUGAU